rnacentral:lncRNA from 1 species
GACCGCAAAGUGCGUCGUCAAUGUCGCCGCCGCAGGUAGCAACGUGGUCGGGCCAGAGGCCCAAUGAGACAAUAAAGAGGGCAUGGGCCGCACGGUCGACGCCAAAACCUCGCGCGCACACUCGCAUGGCGGCACGCAGCAAGUGUGUGGGUGGACGUGCGACCUCGCACAUGCGGGCAAGGGCACGCGCGCCAGACAAGAUAUCGAGGGCGCACGGCGCCAGCGUGAUGUCGAGAGCGCGCAGUGUCGGCGGGGUCACGUACGAGGCGCACAGGAGAAUGGCCAGAGCCGCAGCCGGCGUCGUCACAAUAGCCCUUGCCGGUGCGCCCUCUGCCAGCAACCAGGCGAUCGAGGCUGUUGCGCCGCCGGCGACCGCGCCCGCCAGCGCCGCCUCCCAAAAGCCCGCCUGCGACGAUGCCGGCCGAGGCUCGUCCUCGUCCCACAAACCAAAGUCAUCCGUGUCGUCCAUAAAACUGCUGUUGGCCUGCCAAAUCCAGUCGUCAUAGUCAUUACUGUCAUCGCCAUGGGUGUCAUCGCCUCGGUGAAUGACGCUAUUGAAUGAGUAGGCGGUUGGGGCCAGAGUCGGCACACCCCAACGGGCGAUUGCGGCCGCCGCCACGCGAGGCCGGUCCCGGUAAAAGGCCUCGCCGCACCACGCCGUGGCCUGUCUGUCCCAGGCGACAAAGUCGACGGCCCUCGUCAUGAUCUUGCAGGUCCGAGCACGCGCCGCCGUCUCGCGGGUCUCGACCACAAUGGUGCCGCGGUCAAGCAUGGCAAACAGAUGCGUCGCCAAGAGGUCAGAGGCUGCAUGCGACCGCGCCCGCAAACACGCAUACAGGACCUCGCGCCACGGCGGGCGCCCGACGCCAAGGCCCAAAAGCACGUCAAAGGCCUUGAUGGUGCUGUUGAUAUUGUCGUUGUCGUCUGCGCUGGCAAGCAGGGCAAUCAUGUCACAACGCAUGGGCGCGCUCAGCGUGAGCACGGACUCGCAACGCUCAAUGAGCCAGAGCGCCGCGGUCGGCCUCGCGGCGCGGCACGCCGCACGCACCAUGGCAUUGACCAGGUUUGGCGCGCGUGUGGCAAAAAGUCUAGACUCCAUCGCGUCCACAUCAAACCAGUCGCCAACAAUGGCCUUGUCGACGAUGUGCGGAUGAGCGAGGUGGCGAGACCACGCAUCGCGCAUGGCGGCCAGGUUGCCCGAGGCCAUCACCGCCGCCAGUGUGCCCAGGGCCAAGUCAUCACGCAGAGCGUCGGGCGUGCGCUGGCCCGGCCACCCGCUGCAUUGGUCGGGCACCAGCGCCAGCCACCAGUAAGCGGCGCCCGUGUCGGACGGCAGCAGGGCGACGGCAUCGCGCAGGGCCGACGCACAAAAGGCCCGACCGCGUGACCAUGUCACCGGUGACGCCCUAUGAGGGCGGGCACGUUCGAGCAGGGCGACGGCGGUCAACGACGGCGACGACACAACGCGCCGCCAGCGGUGGCAGGUCAUGGCCGCCACGGCGCGCCAUCGCGGCUCCAAGUAAAACCGGCCCCGGUCGAGCACGCCGUUGAGAAUCACGCAAAGGAUUUCGUCUGGCAGGCGCUCAAACAAGUCGCCCGACGGCAAUGGCGGUCGCUCGCAAUCUUUGACCUCGUAUAUGUCGUCGUCGUCGUCAUCGUCACCAUAUGCGCCAGUGCCAUCAUACACGUCGUCGGCAUCGUCGCGCCGUCUCUUUGCCAUCGGCGACGCUGCAGCCGAUGGAGCACUCAUGCCCCCGUGCGCGCACGGAUCGGUCCUUUCUGCGUGAGACCUCUUCAUCGUCGCGUGUGCGCAGAGUGGAAAAGAAUUGUUUUUCCAACGAGAAAAAAAAAGAGAUGACAAAUCGACCAGACACAAAG